UAGCCGUAAACGAUAACUCGCUAGGUGUCGGCCACGGUGCGACCGUUGUCGGUGCCGUAGGGAAGCCGUGAAGCGAGCCACCUGGGAAGUACGGCCGCAAGGCUGAAACUUAAAGGAAUUGGCGGGGGGAGCACCACAACGGGUGGAGCUUGCGGUUUAAUUGGAUUCAACGCCGGAAAUCUUACCGGGACCGACAGCAACAUGAAGGCCAGGCUGAAGACUUUGCCGGAUUAGCUGAGAGGUGGUGCAUGGCGUAGACGUCU
rnacentral:rRNA from 1 species